rnacentral:rRNA from 1 species
UACAGAGGUGCCGAGCGUUAGGCGGAAUCACUGGGCUUAAAGCGCGUGUAGGCUGUUUCGCAAGUCGGAUGUGAAAGCCCUGGGCUCAACCUAGGAAGUGCACUCGAAACUGCGAAACUGGAGUCCUGGAGAGGAAGGCGGAAUUCUCGGUGUAGAGGUGAAAUUCGUAGAUAUCGAGAGGAACACCGGUGGCGAAGGCGGCCUUCUGGACAGUGACUGACGCUGAGACGCGAAAGCGUGGGGAGCAAACAGG